CGUUGCCAUUAUAAAAACAGAUAAGUCGGUCUACGUCUACAACUGUGUCAAGUAACAAAAACAGCUCCCUUACCUUGAUCUUGAUUGUUAUUAAUUCUCAAUUUUUUAAUACCUUGGAUAUUUACUGUUCUACGUUGGGUUUUUGCAUUGUCUUGGAAAAAAGAUGUCUGAUUUUAUUUCUAGUAAAACAGAUAAAUUGGUGAAUGGAUGGUUAACAAAUGGUAUGAGACCACUCGUUACUCAGCCAUGUAGUGUUCGGCUAGAAAACACGAUGAAUAAUACAAAUGCUACGUCUCUGACCAGCCAUCGGCCAAAUCAAGAAUCACAAUUCUUCAAGAGGCCGGAUCGGCCAAAACAAGCUCAGUCAUUAUUUAAGAUGCCUGAUCCGAUGAGAAACCAUACUCAGACCUCAACUCAAUCCAGACCAGUUCAAACCAAUUCACAACUGAAUUCGACUAUCAGCCAAAGUAGCAUGAAGUUUCUAAUUGAAAAUUACAGGAAAUCGUUUGUGCAAUGUUUAGAGUCUUAUAUCACCGAUUUUCAGAACACCACUCUCCAAAAUGAAGAGCACGCAUUGUUGAUGUACAGUGCACUCAACUCGGCAAUUUGCAAUGCUGUAUCGUCCUGCAGCUCUGAAAGAAAUGACGUAACAAGGCUGGGGAGGCUAUUUGCUGAGAUUUCGAAAAAGUUGGAUGACAUGUUGAAGACGUCUAAUUCAAUUAGCUUUGAUGUGGGGCGACAUGAUUGGCCUAGUACGGCCACUUCUGAAAACCAAGAUCCAGACUCACAUUCAGACACAACGGAAUUCGGAAGGGCUGCAUUUCAAUCUACACAGAUAGAUUUUAACCUUGAUGAAUCUAAACGUAGGUUUGGAUGUAAACCUUCUAGUUCAAGACCAACCACAUCCAAUCAGUCAAUCUUCAAAGAGAUUUUACACUCGAAAAUGCAAAACAAAGAUCGUGUACAUGUGUCAUUGAAGAACUAUACAUCGAUUCCGACUGAUGUGCUGUUGGGCCAGGCAUCAAGUGCACAGAGCUCUGACAUUCCACAAUUCUUUAGUCUCUCGCCAGAUUUGAGCAUCGGCAGGCAUGCUCGGUCCAAGUCUAACAAGAACCUAUCAAAAGUUGGAGUCAAGGACACCUCUCAUCGAAAGUUUGAUGCCGUUGCUAAAUCUCACUCACGCACACCAAUAACAAAUUGGACGAUUAAAACUCAUGAAAAUGGAAAGGUGGAACUUUUCGGCUGUGACUCGUCCAAGUCUUCCAGGAAAGUUUCGUUUGGAAUUGUGCGCAGCAAGAAGGGAAAUAACUUGAUACAAACGAAUAAAGGACUUUAUCAUCUUGUUGGCGAAAUUAAGAAAAACAAAGAUUUGCCUCACGAAGUCUGUCAACGAUUCAAGAACGAUUUCCCACGGACAUGGAAAAAAACUCUCAAUGAGUCUGGUGUUUUCAAUAAUUGAUUCAGAUCAUUGAAAUUGAGUAUCACGUUUUCGAGAUGUCGGUGAUUUACAGAUCCGUGGCUUUACUGGAGAUCUGUGGACAGUCGUGGAAUAAUCCAAUAUUAUGAUGAAUCUCACGAUGUAUGAGACAUUUAUAUUUAAGAAAUGCACAAAUUUUAAGUGUAGUGGAAGCAUAUUGGACAAGACAUCACCACGGUUUUGUAUGUUCAGUUUUGGGGAAGACCCCCCAGAAUAAUAAUUGUAAACGAUUAUCAUGUAUGCAAUUCUAAAGUACUGAGAGAAACUUACUAGAUUUUUCAGCCAUCUUAACAGACUAUUUCAUAAUUAUGUCACAUUCCUUAGAUUGAAAAUCAUGUUAUUUGGUAGAUUUAGUUUUGAUAAGUAUUAAAUCUUCUUCAUAAUGUAUAGUAUGUUGUAUAGUAUAUUCUUGUUUAUCUGUUGCAUAAGUAAUUUUACAAAUUUAUGAUAAGAAAAUUCAACUGAUUACAAACGAAAUAUUGUUUUAAUAAUGCAAUUAUGAUAGCUCAGGGCUCUUCCCUUUAUUUUAUUGUGAAUGAUCUCACUACUAUUCUUGUAUUCCAUAUUCCUACUUGUUAUUGUUUGAGUUCCACGUAGCUUUGUUUAGUACCGUAUUAAAAUAAUGCCAUUCAUUCAAUUAUAUUAUUUAAUAAAAAUGCAUUACAAAAUUGGUCCCACUAAACUUGAGUAGAUUUUACAGCAGGUGCCUACAAAUGAGCCCUUGAUUGCAAAAGUGGUGUAAGUCAAAAAUAUCAGUUAUCCAUAAUUGAAAGUUGAAGUUUAAGGUCAGCCACAAUGUUAUAUAAUGAAAUAGAACUACCUAUUUUUUUUCAUCAGUUCAAAAAUAUAUGUAUUUUUUUAUACAAUGACUAUUAUUUCAAAGAAAUUAUUAUUUUUUGAGUUAUUUAUGAAUAAAAUGACUUACACCACUUUUGCUAUGAAUGAUCAGUGAAAUUCAAUGACUUACUUCUAUAUUGAUGACUUACACCAGUUUUGCCCGCAAAUAUCAUCAUAGUAAUAGGUUUCCAUGCUGACAGUAGAAAAUCAAUAAAAAUAUUGGAUUUCUAUAAAAAGUUCAUUUUAUUCAGAUAAAUGGUACAUAUCAUUAAGGAUAUUAUGGUGAGUAUAAACAUAUGAAUCAAUAUGAAUAGAGAAAUAAAAAAAUUAUGGAAUUGGAAAAAUGAAAGUUUUUAAGUGUUACAAUGUAUUAUUUUAUGACCGAAUUUCAUCAUCCUCCUGUUCUUCCUCUCCACAAUCCAAAAGUGGGCCGUUGUCUUCAGUUUCCCUGGACGUUUUCAAUGAUUUGAAAAAUUCGUGAUGAACAGGGGGGAUAAAGGGUAGAAGAUCUAGCAUGUCUCUCUUCUUUAGCUCGGUUACUGGUCUGGUAGCAUUGAAUAGUCUCCUCUGCUUGAUAGCUGAAAAAGGCUGCUUAUUGGAGUCUUUGGCUGCAGGAAAUACAAUCUUACUGAACUGUGUUUGAGUGUCCAGGGUGGUUUUGUAGAGCAUGGUUAAUGGACUGUCACUACUGAACCUCAUCCACUGAAUUUUCAGCCAGUUUACUGGCAAGCCUUCUUCAUUCUUCUUUUUUCUUAUAAUUGAUUUUUCAAGCUGCACUGUAGUCUUGAAUUCAUCUUGAUUCAUUACAUGAACAUUAAACUUGUUUUUUCUCCUAGAAUUCCGAAUGGUUUCAAUCCAGUCAGAUGGCAUGUAAUGAGUUUUAUUUUUGGCUGCAGAUUCAAUAUUUCCGAAGUCGGAAUCAUUUUUCAUGAAAGAGUGACCAGACACCAGGAAUUUAUGGUCAAUGACAGAAAUAUUAUUUUCAUUAUCCAAAACAACUUUCAUCCAUGUUAAAGCUAAUUUUAUAUUACGAUUCUGCCCGGUGCAGCUGUCACUGUAGGCAAUAAGAUGACUUCUUUCCCUUAUUUCAGAAUUUAUAAACUUUGUAAGGCAAGAUGCUAUUUCUUGUGAUCCCCGGGAUGCAAUGGUCUCAUCCCAAACAUACAUCUCAGCUUUUUCAGUAUUCAGAUUGUGUACUCCUAAAUUGUAGCAGUAGAGGUUCCUCUUAUAAUAAGCAACUGACGUUGUUAAAGUCGGAAAUGGGAGGGCCUUUUGGAGAUCAAAUGAAAUAACACAGUAGUCCUUGUUUUGAUUGGCUAUUGAAACAUCAUCUUUCAUACUCUCUCUCGCUUUUUCUGCCUUGCGUAGAUGUAGCUCGUGUUGUAUCUUGAUGGAGUUUUUAUCUGACUCUUCAGCAGAGGCCAAUAAUUGAAAUUUGAACUUGUCGCACUGUUGACAGGUAUCCUUCCGAGGUGCAUGAAAAUGUAAGUUCUCUUCAUUGAAAAUUUUUCUAUAAACUGUCUCACUAACUGGAUUUGAAGUAAUAGUGUUGCAAUUUUCUACGUAGAGGUUGUACAUUUUCCUUACAUUUAGUUCUGGAUCCAAGUAUCGUCGAUUUGGGUUAUGCUGCCUGGUAUAAUGACUGGUGUAUGAUGGAAAGCUCAGAAUAUGUUUUCUCACUUCAUCUAUUUUCAUGGCACUUGUUUUAUUUACACUCUGUUCUUUUCCUCUCAGAUCCUGACCUACGUGUCCUUCUUUUUCUUUUUUCAAUGCUCUGGACAUUCUCCCAUCGGAUAUUUUAAAUGUGUUCAAAAAAUACUGCUUGCAAACAAGAAUGCUCUCAUUAUUGAUGUUCAAAAAAUACUUAUUCGUACAACUUUUGUCCCCUUUACUCCCAUCACGGUGUCUUCUUUGCUUAAUAGCUACUUUCUUAACAAGUCCACAAAUGUAGGUAUUUUGUUGAGAGAAAUUUCCCAUUGUCCAAAAAUGAUUAAAACACGAUUUCCUGGCCUCUUCUGGUAUCUUCGUGUGGCAUUUAUUCCUACAUGAACACUGAAUGUCCUCAAAGAUAACAUCAAUCCCCGAAUUUCUUCUAGUCUUCUUCAAAUUUCUUACCCAAUUGGUUUCAUUUCUUCUUCUUUUGGGCCUACUGACAUCAACAUCAGAAAUGCUAUCAGCUUCUGCUGGUCUCUGGUCUUCUGCUGGUUUCUGCAUUGGUAAUAUCAUCAGAACCUGGAAGCAUAAGAGUUCAACAUUUGAAAUUAGCAUAAGAGUACAACAUUUGAAAUUUUAUGGGCAAAACUGGUGUAAUUAAGUCGAUGAAGCUACAACAUAGCCUACUAGUUUAAAUUUUAUAUCUGUUAUUUCUAAUUCACAGCUCAUGAUUGAAGAAUCUUAUUGGAAUAGAAAUUAAUCUACAAUAAUAAAUAUAGCCUAUAUUAGACACACAAAUUGAGUGUAAUGCUUUGUUAUCAUAUAAAAUACACAAAAGGCAUUAUUUAAAAGUAAGGUUAGUUUUGUUAAUACAUUUUUUUACUCAUAACGGUGUUGAUUACAGUAAUUAGAAUAUUUAUUUACCUGCAUCUGGGUCUGAAGAUGAUGAAUCAUCAUUUGGUACGUAGUUCUUAUCAAAAUCGGAGUCAUCCAUGUCCGAAAUCGAGCUUUCUGAAGACAUUAUGGCAAUCUGCUUUCUGAAUCUGACUUACACCACUUUUGCACAAAUGUCUAUUUGAAAACAGUUUGCUACAGCCGACUUGUACUGGUCUCUAGUGGCAAUAAAGUGAAGCUAGACUUACACCACUUUUACACAAGACAGUUUGAAUAACAAGCUAUUCAAUGGUGGUAUUAACCAGAUUAUGACAAAAUUUGACUUACACCACUUUUGCAAUCAAGGGCUCAAAUAUUAAAAUACAAUAGAUAGAAUGACAUGCCAACUUUUAAACAUUAAAAUAAGGAGGAAAGUUUCCUAUAUUUAAAUAAAGUUUGGGUAUUUAAAAAGGAAUAUGAGGUAUAAUGUGGUCUAAAAAUGUUGAUAGGGUUAAUGGAGGAAGGGGAAUAAAACUGAAAACUCAAACUUGAAAUCAUAAAACUGAAUUAAAAUUAUAAGAAAAUAUUCUGAAUACUUAUAGUAAAUAUAAAUCAAUGAUAUUAAUUUACUUGAGAAUGAAGGAUAAUACCUAACGAAAAAAUACAAUAAGUAAUAGAAGUGACAAACGUUAUUAUCUAACUAUAUAAAAAUUAGCCACUCUAAGGCAGUGGUGUUUCACAUAGACAUAGACAAACAUUUAUUUUACCCACAACAUAAUAUCAGAAUGACAGAAAAGUCAAAAAAAAUGGUAAUUUUUUUCUUUGUCUAGAGUGUAGAUUAAAGGAUUGAGGCAGUCUCAUUGUUUCAUAUCUGUAUUGUAUAUUCUAAGUUUUUGAAGUUAAGUUACAGAUUAAUAAGAGAAGACCUCCUUGAUUUAAAAAUUUUUUCAUUACUAGAAUUUUGCAAUUGAGGUAUAUAAGCGCCUUCUACCUGUAUUGUAAACUAUUAUUUUGAAUGAAUUUUUCAUCUUUGAAUGAUAUUGUGAGUGAAUUAGGUACAUGUCAUGAUUAGUAUUGGAUAAUUUCUAUUUGUUUUAUAUUGCAUCUAUAUGAGUUGUAUAUUGUAGUUUAUUUGUUGUAUGGUCAUGGUUGUAUUGUUAUAUGGUCUAUUGUAGUUGAUUUAUUGUAUGAUCAUAUUUCAAAUUUAUCACAAGAAAAUUAAUGAAUUCCAAACAAAAUGUUGGUGAAUAUAAUAUUAAAAAUGUUUUUGAUGAAAA
rnacentral:misc_RNA from 1 species